rnacentral:rRNA from 1 species
GUGCUAUCACUACUCUCGUUGCUUUGGCGGGCCGCUGGGCCCUGCCCGGCCGCCGGCCCCGGCUGGCGCGUGCCCGCCAGAGACCUUCACAGACUCUGAAUGUUAGUGUCGUCCGAGUAACUAUACAAUCGUUAAAACUUUCAACAACGGAUCUCUUGGUUCUGGCAUCGAUGAAGAACGCAGCGAAAUGCGAUAAGUAAUGCGAAUUGCAGAAUUCAGUGAGUCAUCGAAUCUUUGAACGCACAUUGCGCCCUGUGGUAUUCCGCAGGGCAUGCCUGUUCGAGCGUCAUUUCAACCCUCAAGCCCCGCUUGGUGUUGGGCCCCGCCCGCUGUGGCCGGCCCUAAAGACAGUGGCGGCGCCGCCUGGCCCUCAGCGUAGUACAUCUCUCGCUCCAGGGUCCGGUGGCCGCCUGCCAGAACCCCCCAACUCUG